rnacentral:rRNA from 1 species
UACGAAGGGGGCGAGCGUUGUUCGGAUUUACUGGGCGUAAAGGGCGCGCAGGCGGCUUAUUUUGUCAGGCGUGAAAUUCCCGGGCUCAACCUGGGGGCUGCGUUUGAUACGUGCGGGCUUGAGUUCGGAAGAGGGUCGUGGAAUUCCCAGUGUAGAGGUGAAAUUCGUAGAUAUUGGGAAGAACACCGGUGGCGAAGGCGGCCAACUGGACCACAACUGACGCUGAGGCGCGAAAGCGUGGGGAGCAAA